rnacentral:rRNA from 1 species
UACGAGGGGGGCAAGUGUUGUUCGGAAUUACUGGGCGUAAAGGGAGCGUAGGCGGAAGUUUAAGUUGGGUGUUUAAAACCGGGGGCCAACCCCGGAGCGGCACCCAAAACUGGACUUCUUGAAUGGGACAGAGGCUGGUGGAAUUGGGGGUGUAGCGGUGGAAUGCGUAGAGAUCCCCAAGAACACCAAUUGCGAAGGCAGCCAGCUGGGUCCACAUUGACGCUGAGGCUCGAAAGCAUGGGGAGCAAACAGG